AACGCACGAGACCUGCGGACCUGCGGAGGGAUCAUUACCGAGUGCGGGCCCUCGCGGCCCAACCUCCCACCCUUGUCUCUAUACACCUGUUGCUUUGGCGGGCCCACCGGGGCCACCUGGUCGCCGGGGGACGUCGUCUCCGGGCCCGCGCCCGCCGAAGCGCUCUGUGAACCCUGAUGAAGAUGGGCUGUCUGAGUACUAUGAAAAUUGUCAAAACUUUUAGCAACGGAUCUCUAGAUC
rnacentral:misc_RNA from 1 species